UACGAAGGGUGCAAGCGUUAUUCGGAAUCAUUGGGCGUAAAGCGCGUGUAGGCGGCUAAGUAAGUCGGGCGUGAAAUCCCACGGCUCAACCGUGGAAGUGCACUCGAAACUGCAUAGCUAGAGUCCUGGAGAGGAAGGUGGAAUGCUUGGUGUAGAGGUGAAAUUCGUAGAUAUCAAGCGGAACACCGGUGGCGAAGGCGGCCUUCUGGACAGUGACUGACGCUGAGACGCGAAAGCGUGGGGAGCAAACAGGGAUUAAGAA
rnacentral:rRNA from 1 species